ACGAACGCUGGCGGCGUGCUUAACACAUGCAAGUCGAACGGAAAGGCCCUGCUUGCAGGGUACUCGAGUGGCGAACGGGUGAGUAACACGUGGGUGAUCUGCCCUGCACUUCGGGAUAAGCCUGGGAAACUGGGUCUAAUACCGGAUAGGAGCCAUUUUUAGUGUGAUGGUUGGAAAGUUUUUUCGGUGUAGGAUGAGCUCGCGGCCUAUCAGCUUGUUGGUGGGGUAAUGGCCUACCAAGGCGGCGACGGGUAGCCGGCCUGAGAGGGUGGACGGCCACAUUGGGACUGAGAUACGGCCCAGACUCCUACGGGAGGCAGCAGUGGGGAAUAUUGCACAAUGGGCGCAAGCCUGAUGCAGCGACGCCGCGUGGGGGGUGACGGCCUUCGGGUUGUAAACUCCUUUCGCUAGGGACGAAGCUUUUUGUGACGGUACCUAGAGAAGAAGCACCGGCUAACUACGUG
rnacentral:rRNA from 1 species